AUUGAACGCUGGCGGCAUGCCUUACACAUGCAAGUCGAACGGCAGCACGGGUGCUUGCACCUGGUGGCGAGUGGCGAACGGGUGAGUAAUAUAUCGGAACGUGCCCAGUCGUGGGGGAUAACGUAGCGAAAGUUACGCUAAUACCGCAUACGAUCUAAGGAUGAAAGCGGGGGACCGUAAGGCCUCGCGCGAUUGGAGCGGCCGAUAUCAGAUUAGGUAGUUGGUGGGGUAAAGGCUCACCAAGCCAACGAUCUGUAGCUGGUCUGAGAGGACGACCAGCCACAUUGGAACUGAGACACGGUCCAGACUCCUACGGGAGGCAGCAGUGGGGAAUUUUGGACAAUGGACGCAAGUCUGAUCCAGCCAUGCCGCGUGAGUGAAGAAGGCCUUCGGGUUGUAAAGCUCUUUCGGCUGGGAAGAAAUCGCACAGGCUAAUACUCUGUGUGGAUGACGGUACCAGCAUAAGAAGCACCGGCUAACUACGUG
rnacentral:rRNA from 1 species